GGAAUGUGACUCAGUGGUAGAGUGCUAGCCUCACAUGCAAGAAGCCCUGGUUCUAUCCCCAGCACCA
rnacentral:tRNA from 1 species